rnacentral:rRNA from 1 species
GAUGAACGCUGGCGGCGUGCCUUAUACAUGCAAGUCGAGCGAACAGACGAGGAGCUUGGCUCACUGACGUUAGCGGCGGACGUGUGAGUAACACGUGGAUAACCUACCUAGAAGACUGGGAGAACUUCGGGAAAUCGGAGCGAAUACCGGAUAAGAUAGUAAACCGCAUAGCUCACUAGUGAAAGACGGUUUUGCUGUUACUUAUAGAUGGAUCCGUGUCGCAUUAGCGAGUUGGUAAGGUAACGGCUUACCAAGGCAACGAUGCGUAGCCGACCUGAGAGGACGACCGGCCACACUGGGACUGAGACACGGCCCAGACUCCUACGGGAGGCAGCAGUGGGGAAUUUUCCGCAAUGGGCGAAAGCCUGACCGAGCAACGCCGCGUGAGGGAUGAAGGCCUUCGGGUCGUAAACCUCUGUUAUCAGGAACGAACAGAUGUGUAAGUAACUCUGCCGGUAAUGACGGUACCUGCUCAGAAAGCCACGGCUAACUACGUG